AGCAGGCUGAACAGCUGCGGGUGAGACCCGAAAGGGUCCACACGAGGAAAGUCCGAGCUCCAAAGGGCAAGAAUAACGGCUAACGGCCGCCGGGGGCGACCCUAGGGAAAGUGCAACAGAGAUAUACCGCCGCUUUGCGGCAAGGGUGGAAAGGCGAGGUAAGAGCUCACCAGCGCGCAGGAGACUGCGCGGCUCUGCAAACCCUAUUCGGAGCAACACCGUGGAGGGACAUAUGCGCCGGCCCGGCGCGUCCUGUGGAGGUGGCAUCGAGCUGGAGCGGCAACGCCCAGCCAAGAUAGAUGGCUGUUCACGACAGAACUCGGCUUACAGGCCUGGUCG
rnacentral:RNase_P_RNA from 1 species